GUACCAAACGUCUCGUGUGAUGUCAGUCCUUCCGCAUCCUUCAACAGCACAAAUGACCUGAUCAAUUGUUGCAAUGACUUAACAUUUUGUACGCUGGCCAUGAAUGCGAUGAAUCUGACGUCAGGGAACUACCCUUGGGAUUCCCUCCGAUUAUCUACCUCACACGAUAAGCUGCUCUGUAAAAACAACUGUUGUACGCUGGCCAUGAGUGUGACUGUAUUGCGUGGAAUCUGACAUCAAGGAACUACCGAUUAUCAAUA